AAUGGAGAACAAUUUACAUAAUUGCCAUUGCAGUCUUGGGUGGAAUUGCUGCAUUGCUGGAAUUAAUCACUUGGAUUGUAGUUUUGAGGAGGAAGUCUAGUAAAUCCACUAAGCCCUAUGAAGGAUACGGUGGACAAAGCAGACCAUGAUCAACGGAUUGUUGCUGUUGUCCAUAGCAGACCAUGAUUUUGUAAUACCCUUCAUCGAACCUCACUUGCCGGAGAGGUUCUAGUGUGAUACACAUCUCUUCUUAGCUCCUUAAUCUUUGUAUAAUGGUCUGGCUUCAUCACUCGUCAUUGUCUAGCAUAUUAGUACAGGUCGCCUUGGUUCCAUUUUUCUCCCUCAU
rnacentral:lncRNA from 1 species